rnacentral:lncRNA from 1 species
GUGCAGUUAGUAGCAAAACCUUCAGACUAAGGUAACCAAUUCAGUUUUAUUAAGUUACCAAUUUAAAAUUCAUUUUGAUGUGUUGAAUGUAUUCAUUCAAAUACUGGAUGAUGGUAACCAAACUUUUAUACCAAGAUAACCAAACUGUCAUAUCAAAGUAACCAAUCAACCUUUGCACUUUAAAUUUUUUCUUAGUAUAGUUGGUUACCAAACUUUCAGAUCAAGGUAAGCAAACCUUUGUACCAAGAUAACAAACUUUCAUACCAAAGUAACUAAUUCACAUCCACACCUGCAAUUUUUUUAUAGUGCAGUUGGUAGCUAAACCUUCAGACUAAGGUAACCAAUUCAAUUUUAUUAAGUUACCAAUUUCGUUUGAAUGUGAUGCAGUUAGUAACCAACCAUUCAUACAAAGGUAACCAUUUUAUUAUUUAUCAAUAACAAAAUAGUUAUAAAUUUUUUGUAGGACGAAUCUUUUUCUUCUUCUUCUUGGCUCUUUUGGAGAAGAGCAGACAACAGAAAGAACUUAUGUUGGGCAAACUUUUAUCACCCUCUUCUCCUUUACGUAGAGGAAGAUCUACCUCCACCAAGGUAUGUUUGUUUAUGAUGAGACCUAGUGCUGUGAUAUUAAUUUUGUGUCAUUUUAUGUCUACAACCUCUAAAUGGUGAACUUUGUUUUUGAAAAAUUAAUUCUCUCAUGUAGGAUGUUACUACUGUCUCUAAGCUCUCAGGGAAGCUCGUCCUUUUAUUGUUUGCAACACAUGCUUGCUAUGGUUCUGGAUCUUUUUUGCCUGAAUUGAGGAGAACUUCGAGUUGCGUUUUGCAGGCACUUGUUCCUGGAUUGCGGUUGACGGAGAUAACGCCAGAGUUAUAAAGUUCCUGAUGUUUGUGAAUCAAAAUUUGAAUUUAUUUUUGUUGUUAGAUCUCAAAUAUUUGAAUUUGAAUUAUUAAUUAUA